rnacentral:lncRNA from 1 species
CAAAAGGUUCAUUCAAAUGUGCCUACUGGUAAUUCUUUGACAAAGACACCCAUUUCUUCUUGUUUGCCUUCCAACCAAAAGGUUCAUUUAAAUGUGUCUGCCGGUAAUUCUUUGACGAAGACACCCAUUACUGCUGGUUUGCCUUCUAAUCAAAAGGCUCAUUCAAACGUGCCUGCCGGCAGUUCUUUGACGAAGACGCCCAUUACUGCUGGUUUGCCUUCUAAUCAAAAGGCUCAUUCAAACGUGCCUGCCGGCAGUUCUUUGACGAAGACACCCAUUUCUGUUGGUUUGCCUUCUAACCAAAAGGCUCAUUCAAACGUGCCUGCCGGCAGUUCUUUGACGAAGACGCCCAUUUCUGUUGGUUUGCCUUCUGACAAAAAGGUUCAUUUAAAUGUGCAUGUUGCUAGUUCUCUGACAAAGACACCCAUUUCUGCUAGUUCACCUUCUAACCAAAAGGUCCAUUCAAAUGUACCUGUCGGUAGUUCUUUGACGAAGACACCCAUUUCUUCUGGUUUGUCUUCUGACAAAAAGGUUCAUUCUAAUGUACCUGUUGCUAGUUCUCUGACAAAGACACCCAUUUAUGCUGGUUUGCCUUCGGGCCCAAAGGUUCAUUCAAAUGUGCCUGCUGGUAAUUCUUUGACAAAGACACCCGUUUCGGCUAGUUCGCCUUCUGACCCAAAGGUUCAUUCAAAUGUACCUGCUGGUAAUUCUGUGACAAAGACACCCAUUUCGGCUGGUUUGCCUUCUGACCCAAAGGUUCAUUCAAAUGUGCCUGCUGGUAAUACUUUGACAAAGACACCCAUUUCCGCUGGUUUGCCUUCCGACCCUAAGGUUCAUUCAAAUGUGC